UGCAUAUCAAUAAGCGGAGGAAAAGAAACCAACAGGGAUUGCCUCAGUAACGGCGAGUGAAGCGGCAAGAGCUCAAAUUUGAAAUCUGGUACUUUCAGUGCCCGAGUUGUAAUUUGAAGAUUGUACUCUGGAGUUGGCCCUUAUCUAUGUUCCUUGGAACAGGACGUCACAGAGGGUGAGAAUCCCGUGCGAUGGGGAGCCCGAUUCCAUGUAGAGUGCUCUCGAAGAGUCGAGUUGUUUGGGAAUGCAGCUCUAAGUGGGUGGUAAAUUCCAUCUAAAGCUAAAUAUUGGCGAGAGACCGAUAGCGAACAAGUACAGUGAUGGAAAGAUGAAAAGAACUUUGAAAAGAGAGUGAAAAAGUACGUGAAAUUGUUGAAAGGGAAGGUUAUUAGAUCAGACUUGGUGUUUGGCGAUAUUCAGUCUCUCGUAGACUGUUCACUCGCCUUUCGCUGGGCCAGCAUCGGUUUGGGCGGCAGGAAAUGGCUGUUGAACGUGGCUUCUCCGGAAGUGUUAUAGCUUCAGCUGAUACUGCCUGCCUAGACCGAGGACUGCGGCUUCUGCCUAGGAUG
rnacentral:rRNA from 1 species